rnacentral:pre_miRNA from 1 species
AGCCUUUUGUAUCCGUGCUGAGAUUUCGUCACAUAACAGACCACAAGGGCUGAUGAGACUUCCAAGAUAAGUGAAGCG